UACGUAGGCAGCAAGCGUUGUUCGGAGUUACUGGGCGUAAAGAGUGCGUAGGCGGUCCUGUAAGUUUGGUGUGAAAUCUCCCGGCUCAACUGGGAGGGUGCGCCGAAGACUGCAGGGCUUGAGUAUGGGAGAGGUAAGCGGAAUUCCUGGUGUAGCGGUGAAAUGCGUAGAUAUCAGGAGGAACACCGGUGGCGAAGGCGGCAUCCUGGACCAACACUGACGCUGAGGAGCGAAAGCCAGGGGAGCAAACGGG
rnacentral:rRNA from 1 species